rnacentral:rRNA from 1 species
GACGAACCGUGCGAACGUUGUUCGGAUUCACUGGGCUUAAAGGGCGCGUAGGCGGGUUGUCAAGUCAGGGGUGAAAGCCUCCAGCUCAACUGGAGAAGUGCCUCUGAUACUGAUGAUCUUGAGGGAGGUAGGGGCAUGUGGAACUUCCGGUGGAGCGGUGAAAUGCGUAGAUAUCGGAAGGAACGCCGGUGGCGAAAGCGACGUGCUGGACCUCUUCUGACGCUGAGGCGCGAAAGCUAGGGGAGCAAACAGG